CUUGCCAAUGAUGAUAUACACCACACAUACAUUAUUUUCUGGUACCUCUUAUGUCAGGGAUGGGACCUAUGGUUUCAUUCCAAUGAUCUACCUGGACUUCUGAUU
rnacentral:snoRNA from 1 species